CAAGGUCGAGUAACCAUAACUUAUACACAUUUUAUAACUUAUCUAACACAUGACCUCAUUAUCAUACAAGACUAUUACAAAACUAAUCGUGCACAUUAACUUUAAGCUAGAACUGUCUUUAAUUUUCCUUGUAUCCGACGCAUUCACCUUAAUCUGCAAUGUUUUAUCAUGAUAUAGCAAGGGUGAGCAUGAAAGUUGCCCAGCAAGUUUAAAUACAAUUUAAGGAUAUAUCAUGAUUGAAA
rnacentral:lncRNA from 1 species